CUACGGAGGGUGCGAGCGUUAAUCGGAAUUACUGGGCGUAAAGCGUACGUAGGCGGUUGGUUAAGUUAGAUGUGAAAGCCCCGGGCUUAACCUGGGAACUGCAUUUAAAACUGGCGAACUAGAGUUGAGUAGAGGGGAGUGGAAUUUCAGGUGUAGCGGUGAAAUGCGUAGAGAUCUGAAGGAACACCAGUGGCGAAGGCGACUCCCUGGACUCGAACUGACGCUGAGGUACGAAAGCGUGGGUAGCAAACGGAAUUAGAUACCCUAGUAGUCC
rnacentral:rRNA from 1 species